ACUGAGCAUUUCAUAUGAUGCUUAGAAAUGUUAAGCUUACAAUGUUCAAGAAACCGGGCUUAUUGCCGGGUGGUGGUGGCGCACGCCUUUAAUCCUAGCACUUGGGAGAGGCAGAGAGAGGCGGAUUUCUGAGUUCGAGGCUAGCCUGGUCUACAAAGUGAGUUCCAGGACAGUCAGGGCUAUACAGAGAAACCCUGUCUCAAAAAAAAAACCAAAAAGAAAAAAGAAAAGAAAAGAAACUGGGCUUACUGGAUGUUCGAGACUAAGGAUCCACACAAGCACGCAUGCGCGCGCAUACCCACACGCGCAUGCGUGCAUUCAAAGGAAUCAAAACUGGUCAUCUCUGACCUACAAACUGCCUCUCAGAAACCCCAGAAAUGUGAAUUUCCUCAUCUGUGGUUGAGUUACCUGGGGAGCAUUAGCAGAGUCCGCUGACCUGACCCUAAGAUGGGAAGUUUAUUUCCAGGCCUGGCUCAACCGAGUGCCCUCUGCUGCCAGCCAUCCACGCUCUCUUCACCUGCCUGGGCUCACAGCUCUAGGAGGGGCUGGCUGGCCGACACCCACCCAGAGUGCAAGAUCAUCCAACAAGAAACCAGAGCUUUCAAGACGAAGGACAGAAACGUUAUCUGUAUUUCAGGGGUAGUUUUUGCUUUCCCAUACAAGCACACGGGUACUGGCAUGAGAACUACUUUGGAUUUCAGAUUUUCCUCUUCCUCCUUUAAAAGCCCCUGUCCCUGAAGAUGAACGAUGCCCUAUCUAUCUCGAAGAAUUCCACUACUUAAUAGCCUUGCUCCUGGAAAUUUCGGAAAGAUUCCCACCCCCACCCACCCCCCAUUUUUGUGGAAAUCUCCAAGGCUGACGUAUUUCUACAGAGCUCUUGACUAAUUAACAGCCAUAACUCAUAGAAAUAAGGAAAACAAACACUGACGGAUUGAGCCAAGAGUUAUCCCCCAGUUUCAAAUAAUUGAGUCACUGCAGAAGAAACAGUAGUUGGGGAAAAAAAAACACUCAAAGGGUCCCAAAGUAGAGGACUGGGACCCUGAACUUGGGUUUAUCAGGUGCCCACUUUGUACGCAUCACAGCCCUGAGAGACUUUCAUUCAUCCACAGCUGCCGCUGCUGCGCAUGCCCAGCUCAGGGAACGAUCUGACCUCAAAGGUCAAGUCAGACAACUAGAGAGCACCUGCUGAAUCUUCCUUCCAUCAUGGCUUCCAGGAGAAGAGCAAGCCCUUGACUUGAACAAGAUGUUGACCGGAACCGCCUUGAGGCAAGCUCAUGAGGUGGCAAGAGCCUUGGGUAGAGGCAGAUGUGGCUUCAAAUCAAAUUCCCAAGAGCAAGUGCAGAGUGGUCGGUGCCUCCCUGGCUCAAAUGUCCUGGGACAGUGGCCUCCGUUCUGGGGCUGCACCUCAGGUUUCGGAGACAGAGCAGCCACAGAAAGCAGCCUGCUUUAUCGGCAGCCUGCACAGCUCUCCAUUGCCAUGGCCCCUCACCCUGGCAUUCCGUGCCUCCCAGGGGGGCAGAUAAUCCCACAAAGGGCCUCGUGCCAGAGUCUGGACACUGGAAAGUGCUUUCUCCAGCCUGGAGUCUUUGGGUUUGCUGGAAUCUUCUUACUGGGCCCCAGGGUUCAGAUCGAAUAUCCCUUUGAAAGGGUCAGAGGCAACCCCCGUGCUCUGCUUGGUCUGUCUGACACCAGAUCUAGCGGUCUAUGAUUGAGGAGGACAGCCCCCCUCGACAAACCAGCCUCCCCAAGACCAUGGUCCCUGUAAUGAGAGGAGGAAAAAAGGAGGGAAAGGCCCGUAUCAUGUCCCAACAAAUGCCAACACCUUCUCCCUCAGGAAGCUCCUCUUGCUCUGUCCACAGCCUCGCGGGUAUAGAGACCCUGGGAAUGGCUGACCCUCCCUGAACAAUAACCCUGUACAUUUGACAGAAUGGUCUCCCGCAUCAGGUUCACGCCAUUGUGUCUCUGUAAGGUACUCUGAGCAUUAUGUGCAUGGCUGUGCCUUGCAUUCGUCACAGUAGUGAAUGCAUGUGCUGGCAUGUGUCUCACAUGUACAAGCAUUCACAAGUGUGCACAAGUGUGAACACAAACUGACUGCCAAGGAGAUAGUAAGCCUGACACACAUGACACAAGCCCAGGAGGGAGACUGGAGGGACAGAGGCAACACCAGCAAAACAUACCUCCUGAGCCCUUGGAACACAGAUGACAAGUGACCCCUGAAGGAAGGAUGCAGGCCUAGAGCUUUGGGCCCUGCUCCUCCUCUCAGGGAUGCUAAAGGCCACCUCCUUUCUGACUCAGUGGUAUCUGCCCUGGUACCGGGUGUCCCCGAGAAACUGCUGUACCUCAGCAAAAGGCUGACACGGUACCCAUGGUCUUCUGUGGAAGCAUGAAGAACCUUGUCUGGGAUGGAUCCCAAUCCAACAGUGAUGCCUUUCCUGCCAGCCCCACACUCAUGCCAACUGUCCACAGCAUGAAUGGUGGCCUUCCAAUGUCUCCUUCCAUGCCAGAGCCGAGCUAACACAGGCACAGGACAUUGGGUUUCUAAGCAUCAGCCAGCAGAUCACCCCUCAUGGGAUGGUUCUGGAGACUCAGUGUGUCUCUGUUCUUUGAACUCUACUCACCAAGUGCUCUUGCACAUGUGUGUUAGCAUGGACGUGAAAUUCAGGGAGGUACCCCAAUUCUGUCUACCCACAUGCAUACACACAUAUACAGAGUCACAGAGUCAGUCACACACAGAC